CCUACGGGAGGCAGCAGUGAGGAAUAUUGGUCAAUGGACGAGAGUCUGAACCAGCCAAGUAGCGUGAAGGAUGACUGCCCUAUGGGUUGUAAACUUCUUUUAUAAAGGAAUAAAACGAGGCACGUGUGCCUUUUUGCAUGUACUUUAUGAAUAAGGAUCGGCUAACUCCGUGCCAGCAGCCGCGGUAUACGGAGGAUCCGAGCUUUAGUCGGAUUUUUUGGGUUUAAAGGGAGCGUAGGUGGGUUGUUAAGUUAGUUGUGAAGGUUUGCGGCUCAACCGUAAAAUUGCAAUUGAUACUGGCAGUCUUGAGUACAGUUGAGGUAGGCGGAAUUCGUGGUGUAGCGGUGAAAUGCUUAGAUAUCACGAAGAACCACGAUUGCGAAGGCAGCUUACUAAACUGUGACUGACAUUGAUGCUCGAAAGUGUGGGUAUCAAACAGGAUAGAUACCCGGGUAGUC
rnacentral:rRNA from 1 species